rnacentral:other from 1 species
AAUUGUCAAAGAUAAGUAUAAAAAAACCGACACUUUAUGCGAUUGGUAAUCUAAUUCAUGGAGGUUGUUGAAGACCUAGAUUUAUCUAGGGAUCCUGAAAUUCAUGAUGUGAUGACCACCUGGUUAGACAGGUUUUAUCGUACUUGCUUAUCUUUGACUUUUU